ensembl:snRNA U1 U1 spliceosomal RNA
AUACUUACCUGGCAGGGAUGAUACCAUGAUCACAAAGGUGGUUCAUCCAGAGCGAGGCUUUGCCAUUGCACAAAGGCAAUUCUGACCUCUGUGAAUUCCUCAAAUGUGGGAAUCUCAACUGCACAAUUUAUGGUAGUGGGGACUGCGUACGCGCUUUCCCCUA